GCGCCCAUAGCACAAUGGAUAGUGUGUAUCCCUCCGAAGGAUGAGAUUGUGGUUCGAUUCCACAUGGGCGCA
rfam:Candidatus Harrisonbacteria bacterium RIFCSPLOWO2_02_FTLL_41_13b rifcsplowo2_02_scaffold_1920, whole genome shotgun sequence.